rnacentral:tRNA from 1 species
ACUUAAAUAGUUUAAAGAAAAUUAUGAUUUGUGGUGUCAUAGAUAUAAAAGGAUUAUUUUAGGUU